rnacentral:rRNA from 1 species
UACGUAGGGUGCGAGCGUUGUCCGGAAUUACUGGGCGUAAAGAGCUCGUAGGUGGUUUGUCGCGUUGUCCGUGAAAACUCACAACUCAAUUGUGGGCGUGCGGGCGAUACGGGCAGACUGGAGUACUGCAGGGGAGACUGGAAUUCCUGGUGUAGCGGUGGAAUGCGCAGAUAUCAGGAGGAACACCGGUGGCGAAGGCGGGUCUCUAGACAGUAACUGACGCUGAGGAGCGAAAGCGUGGGGAGCGAACAGG